AACGAACGCUGGCGGCAUGCCUAACACAUGCAAGUCGAACGAGACCUUCGGGUCUAGUGGCGCACGGGUGCGUCACGCGUGGGAACCUGCCCUUAGGUUCGGCAUAACUCCCCGACAGGGGUGCUAAUACCGGAUAAUGUCUUCGGACCAAAGAUUUAUCGCCUUUGGAUGGGCCCGCGUUGGAUUAGCUAGUUGGUAGGGUAAAAGCCUACCAAGGCGACGAUCCAUAGCUGGUCUGAGAGGAUGAUCAGCCACACUGGGACUGAGACACGGCCCAGACUCCUACGGGAGGCAGCAGUGGGGAAUAGUGGACAAUGGGCGAAAGCAUGAUCGAGCAAGGCCGGGUGAGUGAUGAAGGCCGUAGGGUUGUAAAGCUCUUUUAACCGGGAUGAUAAUGACAGUACCGGGAGAAUAAGCGCCGGCUAACUCCGUG
rnacentral:rRNA from 1 species